rnacentral:tRNA from 1 species
GGACGGAUAGCUCAGUCGGUUAGUGCGUGGUGCUAAUAACGCAAGCGUUGUGGGUUCGGCCCCCACUCUGGCUA